rnacentral:lncRNA from 1 species
UCUAAAGGCUUGAGACAUCUCUGCAUUUUUCUUUUGUUAGGAACAUGUAUUGACUUGGACUAUAAUUAGUUGAAGUUAUGAUUAAUGAUUUAUUAACAGGUGAAUGCAUUUGUUCAGUGAUGUCAUGAUGAGACAUGCUGAAAUAAUAAUAGUAAUAGACAAUGAUACUGACAUUCUGCUGUAAUGGAUAAGAAAGUCAGAAGGAAGGUAAAUUUUAAGGGAAAGUAUAAUAUAAAACAGUAGUCAGCAACCCUUUUAAGACACUAUAUCCUUCUUCUAUUUCUUUGAUCUAUGAGGAACUGAAUUAGGGGAAACAUUAUCAAAAAUACAGCAUAAAAACAAGUUUCAGCAAAAAAACAAAUAAAUAAAAUAUAUUAUUUCCCUUUAAAGCAAAAUAUCAUGCGCAUGCUAAUAUUUUUUUGUUGUUUAAUCUUCUUCUGUCAUGUAUGUGAAGCCCUCCUAAGUCCAACAUGUGUUCCAUCAGAAAGGAAAAGAGGUAUAUACGAUUCUUCUACUUGUAAUACCCACCCUGAAUGCUUUAAGGAAAAUCACCCAAUGUCUUUUUGGAAUAAACAUAACAGUGCUGAUUUGAGUAAUAUCAUAUCUUUAUUAAGGUGUUUCUUAUUUUAUACUGCUCUUAUGCCCAUUUACAGCUCUAAACAAGAUUAUACUUAUCUGACUGAAAUCUUUAUCAACAUUCUGCUAACACGUAAAUGUUUUACCCAAAUUAUGCUAUUAAAUGUAGGUGUGAAAAGUGACCAUGAUCUUUAUCUAGUGCUCUGAAAAAAAUGCAUAAUCAGAUACUAAAGUUAUAGCCUAGUUGACUGUACUAUUUACUGAAAAAGAUGUACAUUGGCUAAAAAAACAGCAAAGAUAUCCCAAAGUGCAAAUUCUCUCUCUAGUAUUUUUUCAGUGGAAUAGAUAUUUAAAAGUAUUUUCUACAAAGGGGAUUAUCUAAAUACAAAAUAAAAGAAAACCACAUAAAACAACUGUUUGAAUCAUAGAAUUUCUCUUUAUUUCUAUUUUUAAAAAUUGGAUAUUUUAUUUAUUUACAUUUCAAAUGUUAUCCCCUUUCCCAGUUUCCCCUCUGCACACCCCCUAGCCUCUCUCCCUCCCCCUGCUUCUAUAAGGGUGCUUCCCCACCCACCCUCUCCAUCUCACUGCCAUGGUAUUCCGUACACUGGGGCAUGGAGCCUUCACAGCACCAAAAUUAGGGUUGGGGAAAAAUUUAAGCAUUUAAUGUAUUUAUCAAACAAGAGAGACAGCUAGAGAAUGAAUAUCCUGAAACCAGCCUGAAUUUCAAGAAACAUAAGAGCAUUCCUGGAAUUCUACCUUUGGAAGCCAGAUACAGGAAUAUCAAAACAAAGUUAUUCAGAGACACUUGCCAUAAUGUGCAAAUUCCGUGUUUAACUGAGAGAGACUGAAAAACAACAAACUUGCAGAGUAAGUCAGGAAGAUGCUGGGCAUAAACCAGUUUCCCCACGUAUGCAUACACAUGUUCUCCUGCCUACCACAUACCAUCAAACUUAACUCCAUAUAUCCACCUAUAAAUGCAUGAAAGGAGAUAAAAAAUGAAAGACAAUAUCUUAUGAGUAAGAGUUAUUUAAGGAAAUCUGUUAUCAUGAUCUCUCAGUUUCAAUCCCCCCUCCCCCACCCCAACACACACUCUAUUUGGUAAAAAAGC